GUUUGCUCCCUCUAGGGAGGCACCGGGGGCGGACGGGUGUUGAGACCUAUGGGUUGCGCUCGAUGGCAGUGAGCGGAAAUUCCGCUUUCUAGUCACCGACGAUUUGGUGAGCGAAGCGGACCGCAAGUCAACAAACAGGAUUUUCUCAGAUGGUAAUUGAGUGCUUUAAAGAAACUUGGCAGGAUAAUGAAGAACGAAGUGAGGGAGUAACAGGUCUUAUGUAGAUCUGGAGUGGAGCAUGCUAAGUAGAAGGAAAGGCCACAGAGGGAACAAACGUAGCCAAGUUUAGGCGAAGGAAAGGGGCCCCUGCGCCUCGGGCAGGAUGGGAAGGAAGGGAGAUGAGGCCAGGACUUCAGCACCAAGUCUUGUGAGGCGUGUGAGCCAGGAUGAGGAGUUCGGAUUUUACGUGGAACUCAGUGGGAAAUGAAGGCUUCUAAGCAGAAGAACGAUAUGCUGUUUUUAUGAGUCUCAUGGCUCCUGCUCUCUUCAGAAAGAUGUACCUCCUCAUUUUGCUAUGGACAGUGGGAACGCAGGAAACGUAGAGAGUCAGAAAAAACAUUCAGGGCAACAUUACUGUGAAGACCUGGAUAACUGAAUCCAAGAGAUUGGUAUCCACUCACACUUUUUAAUUGAGAAGACUUCAAAAUACACUUGGAUCUUCCACGCUUUUGGAAAACUUCUCCACCAAACAAUAAAUCACCCACAGUGCUCUUGUUACAGCAAGUUUUCUAAGGCUAAACAAGAUUUUUAUUUUUCCCAUGAAGCCACAUUGUUGCUUCUUCGCUUUAAUGGUGAUUGUUACUGUGCCGGCAGCUUCUGUUUUGGAAGAUGUGGACUUCACCCUAGUUACCCCACUAGAAGCAAAUCAUAGCUCCUGGUCCACCUCAGCCGGUUCCCACUCAGCCGAUGAUGUCGUCAUAGCCAGAGAGGGAGCCAACGUUUCCAUUGAAUGUCUUCUCACAGUUGGUCACUAUGAAGAUGUCCGUUGGUACAACUCUAAAGGACAAUACCUGGAUGGCAGAGACAGAGGUGGAAAAUGGUUGAUUUCUGAUAACUUCCUGAAUAUCACCAACGUAACCUUUGAUGACCGUGGGCUCUAUACAUGUUUUGUCACGUCCCCGAUUCGUACCUCCUACUCUGUCACCCUCCGCGUUAUUUUCACCUCGGGAGACAUGAGUAUCUACUAUAUGAUUGUUUGCCUGAUUGCCUUUACAAUCACUCUCAUCCUGAAUGUUACCCGGCUGUGCAUGAUGAGCAGCCAUCUUCGCAAGACAGAGAAGGCCAUCAAUGAAUUCUUCAGAACUGAGGGGGCUGAGAAACUUCAGAAGGCCUUUGAGAUUGCAAAACGCAUCCCCAUCAUCACUUCAGCCAAGACUCUGGAGCUUGCUAAAGUCACUCAGUUUAAGACCAUGGAGUUUGCUCGUUACAUUGAAGAACUGGCAAGAAGCGUUCCUCUUCCACCCCUUAUUCUAAACUGUCGGGCCUUUGUUGAGGAGAUGUUUGAGGCUGUGCGAGUGAAUGACCCUGAUGACAUGGGCGAAAGAAUUAAAGACAGACCUGCCUUGGAUGCUCAAGGUGGCAUCUACGUUAUUAACCCAGAGAUGGGGCGGAGCAGUUCACCAGGAGGAGAUUCGGAUGAUGGUUCACUGAAUGAGCAUGGCCAAGAGAUAGCAGUUCAGGUUUCUGUCCACCCUCAGUCAGAGACCAAAAGUAUUGAUACAGAUUCUCAAGACAGCAGUCAUUUCAGCCCUCCUGAUGAUACAGGAUCUGCAGACUCCAGCUCUAACUACAAAGAUGGAGCCUAUGAAAACCGCCAGCUCUGAGCUAAUGCAGUCCCUGCACAAGCAGCUCUCAGGAGGAACCUGUUUCAUGGAGGAGAUAACAUUUUUAUCAAAAGAUAACUGGAGAUUUUUCCCUUUGAUGUUUAGCAUAUCAGAAGAUGAAUUGCCAAACUCUGUAAAAAUGCAGCAGUUUCCCCAUUAGUUCCUAGUCCUUUUCCUUAACUUGUUAGGCUUUAAAGGAGCCUAAGAGAUAAACAUGAUGGGAAAAUCCUGAACUAAGAGUCUUGCGGCUUCUCUUCUGGUCAGUUUUUCUGUUGAUCAGAUGUGAUACUUAUUUUGAAGCCUCAGUUUUCCCCUCAGGAAGAUAAGGUAUUUACAUUUGACAAAAUCUAAAGUCUCUAAUCCCAUAACUUCCUACCUGUUGCAUUUAAACCAUGAAAAUCUGCGACACUUCUCUGAACCUUGCCCCAGACAUUUGGUCUCUUCUUUAUGGAAAGGCCCAUCUGAGACUUUAUCCUGUGGUCUGGAUUUCUACACCAGUGCCACAGUACACAACAAGUGUGGGUAUUUUUUCAGAUGUUCUUCUGUCUGGACUGUACCAUUAUAUAUGCUAGACUGAAUCUUUUCAGUGUAGCACAUGAUCGUGUUGCCACACAGAUAUGGGCGAACUGACUGCUCAUUAGUAAGCUACUUUCCAUGAGUGAAUUGAUCCUUGUUGGGGAACAUUAUGAGACAUCAUUUAGUUCAUUGAGGCUGGCAGUCCUUUCCCAGCUGACCUCCAAAAGUGAGCGGUCUGUUCCUAAGGAAUAAUAUCUUCAAGGCUUUUAGAUUAAGAACAGUGUCAAAUUGUCUGUCUCUGAUAAAUCAUGGAUUUUGAUAUGUCUGUUAAAAAUUUCUCAGGCACUCCCUAUUUAAAAGUACUGGACUCUACGAGUGGGUUCUGUGUUUGAGAUCUCAUUCUAGGAUAAAACCAAGAACUGCAUAUUCCUCUUGAGACCUCGGUCAACGUCCUUUCCCUCUGUGGUCUUAAGUAUGGUGCUAAAAGUUGUACAUCUCCUUAUCUUGCUUGUUUUGUGGAUAUUUUGUUUUUUAUGUUUUUAUUUUUGGAUACUUCAGAUGGGUAAUUUUGAACUAGGGCUGCUUUUGUGCCAAGAAAUAAUUACCUGAAACAAGAUUAGAUAGAUGUGUUUGGUGUGUUACUACAUUAAAAUACACACAGAGAUAAUCUAGACGUAAAAUGGGAGAAAAAUGAUGGAUGAUGCCACCUGGUUCAACUGUGUAUAAUAAACACUAAGGAUGGCAUUUCUUGCCUGGCUAAGAUCUGAUAUAAUGGAAUUGUAAAUACUCUUCAGAAUAAUUUCUUCAGCUGCAGGAAGCUUGGUGCCAUAUAAUUUUAAGAACUUGGCAGUGGAACUGCAUUUAAUGCUUCAUGUUUCUUCAUUUGGUUUCUGGUUAUUGAAGAAUUACUUGAACUAGAGGAUCCGGAGGGAAAUGUUCAGAGGAGGUUUUAUCAGGAUUUUAAUUUAGGGUUUCAAACAAGAAGACAGGAAAUUCAAUGUGUCUAGUGGAACUCAUGCCUCCCUUUGUCCAGGUUUAUCAGAAGUGAUACAUCUGUUCUAGACAGCAUGAAUGAAUCAAUGAGCAGCUUUAUCAGAUGGCUUUAUGGAUAAAGAUGAUAAUGCUGCCUUUUCUGUCUCUCAGGCUGUUUCUAUGGAAACCUCCAGGGCCAAACAAAAGCUACCAAUCAUUUAGCCAAAGCUUGCCUUGGCUUGUAGACGUGUUUCUUCCAGGAAAAUUGUUUUCAUACAUUUUGCUAUUAGAGCAAGGGCUCUUAAACAUAUCCUAGAUUAUAGAAUAUGCUUUCUCUUUCCACAGUGUUUCUCUUGAAAAAUUAAAAAUUUUAAAUCCCUUGUGUAGGAUCAGUCUCCUGAAUAUCCCUCAUAUCUUCAGAUAGUACACCAAUCCUGUCCUAAUAUAGCAAGUGUAGAAUCACCUCUCAGAACGUAACUUGUUACUUUAAAGAGAGUGGGUUUACCCCACCUGUUUUCAGAAGGGAUAUUAGUGUUUAGAAAGACAGAUUUAAAAAUCAAAGUUCUGAGAAACAACUUUCGGAAAACAUAGGAAGUACUGAAAAAAAAUUGUAAGUUUGCACAAUAUGAUAUAAUAAAAUAUAGGCUGCCACUACAGUGUAUCCUACAUAAAUUAUUUUAGAAACAUAAUGGUGGCCUAACUGGUAGCCAAAGUAACUGGUUUGAUUUUCAUCUUCCUAGUUAUGGUGCCAUUAAGGAAGACAAAAUUUUAAUAGGUGUGGUAGGUAGUGUGGCCCAUGCCUAUAAGCACUCAUAUAAUCCCAGCACUUGGGAGGCUGACACAAGAGGAUUAAGACUCUAAGGCUAGCCUGGGCUACAUGGUGAGUGAGACCCUAUCUCAAAAAACGAAAAAUUCAUAGGAGUUGGCACUAUUUCAUGCAGCUGGUUUUCAAGAGGAAUAAAACCACACAAUAUUUUUUGUAUCUCAUAAAAUACUCUUCAUCUAUAAUUAGCAGUUGUAAAUUCUUUAACCUUUGGAACUUCAACUACAAUCUAAAAGUCUUGAUAGUAACUGUGGUGUAAUUAUCUUUUUGUCUCAUUGAUGUCUAGUCAGUUAAAAAUAAGAAAACCUUUACCUAACAAAAUGUACCUAAAAUCCUUUUGACAUCUCAUUUGUAAAUUUCGUAUUGUUAUUUAAUGAGCCUUAUUGUCCUUAUGAAAUAUAGUGAAAUAAAUUUCCAAAAAGUGACAAACAACUUAAUAGAGUCCUGCCUGCAAGAACCAGAUAGACAGGCGUCCUCUGAGUCGAUACCGGACCUGUGUCUGUCGGUGGUGUGCUGAUCACCUGUCCUCAGAGUUGAAUCUGUUAUGAUGGCACGAUUCUCAAGUCAGGCCCAGUAUUUACUGACCACCUGCCAUGUGCGAAAUGCUCUUCCAUGAGUGAGAAUCCAUGGUGAUUGUGACAUGUGGUGCAUCUUUAAUCUGCGGUCCCAAAAGCCUCUAAAGAGGGCGUUGGGCUGAAACCCAAGUGAUGAACCAGUCCUUCCAAGAACCUUUGAAGAAAUUGAGGCACAGAGAAAUGUAUGGACCUACUAGAGCUCCCAGGAGGAAAACUGGGAGCUCAGCCGACAAAAGGACAAACACGAGAGAAAUGAGGUGGGAGAGGACAGAGGAAGUGACUCCUGGUUGCUGUGACUAUCGCUGGGCACCUGUAGUUACCAGCUCCUGGCUCUCCAGGUCCCUUUCUCUUCGGCUGUCUUACCGUCUGGCUGUUUUCGGCUACCAUGAAGUGAGCAGCUCUCCACUGGAGCCCCAAGGUCCACCAUGGUGUUCUGUCUUACCACGGGCCUGAAGCGCUGAACCCAGCUGAUGGCCAACUGAAACCUCAGAAACUGGAGCCACAACUCACCCUCCCUCCUCAAAGUCAUUGUUCUUGGGUAUUUGGUCACAGAGGUGAAAAGCUAACUGACACAGAAGAGGACUUAAACAGGAAAUACUCUGUUUUCCCAAGCCCUGGUGUUUUCAUGGCAGCACCAGGAGGAAGGCUACCCGUGCACUGAAUAUGUGCAUCUGACCUGCCAGCUGAGGCUUUGUUUGAGAUGUAUCUGCCCAACAACAUGGAAUGUUUAUAUUUUAACAUUUGUAGCUUCUCUGUCUGCUCUUUCUAAAGUUAUCCUACUCGAGGCACCUUCCAUAUUCACUGUCUUGAUUCAAUAGAAUUCCUUUAUGGUUGGCUUAAAUGGAGGGGCAGGGGAGAGAGAGGAGGAGAGAAGAAUUCCCUGUCUAGGUCAUUUCAAACAGACAUCCUGCGAAACCUCAACUCAAACUAGGAGCUGCAAUGCAGACAGCAGAUUGAGCCUCCUAGAGCGAUAUUCCACAUCUGCUAGUCCUCCCCCAUCCUGCCAUGCAAGACUGGGUCCAGAAUUGUGGAAUUAAAAAGAUUUCAAAGCAUCUGAUACAAGGGCUUUGUUUAAUAAAACCAUGUUUAGGGGAGGGGGCUUGAAAGGAGAGGGGAAGGAGAAAAAAGAGGUGGAAUGUACCAGGUAUAGGUGCAAAUUCCCUGAUGAAUGUUAUCCUCCUGUAUGCCUAAAAUGUACCAAUAAAUGUUCUGCUAUGAAAAAUAAAACCAUAUUUAGUGAGGCAUCUCUAAUUCCUGCUAUCUCAUACAUUUAUGGACCCGUACAUGAUAAACCCGAGGUUCAG